CACUUGAUGGCCGAAAAUAAGCGUAUGUCUUUUAAAUAUAUUAUAGUACUAUUACUUCAUGUGA
rnacentral:tRNA from 1 species